CCUAGGCAACUUCAGUUCAGCUCCACUUUCCACCUUACAUGGGUCACACUCUAUGUGUGAGUCUUGGGUCUUGUGUUGUAGGUUGAGUGUGUGUGUCUUGUGUCUUGUGUUGUAGGUUGAGUGUGUGUGUCUUGUGUUGUAGUUUGAGUGUGUGUGUCUUGUGUUGUAGGUUGAGUGUGUGAGUGUGUGUGUCUUGUGCUGUAGGUUGAGUGUGUGUGUCUUGUGUUGUAGGUUGAGUGUGUGUGUCUUGUGCUGUAGGUUGAGUGUGUGAGUGUGUGUGUCUUGUGCUGUAGGUUGAGUGUGUGUGUCUUGUGCUGUAGGUUGAGUGUGUGAGUGUGUGUGUCUUGUGUUGUAUGUUGAGUGUGUGUCUUGUGUUGUAGGUUGAGUGUGUGAGUCUUGUGCUGUAGGUUGUGUGUGUGUUCAGACAUCAGAGUGUGUGUUCAGACAUCAGAGUGUGUGUUCAGUCAUCAGAGUGUGUGUCCUCUCAUAUCACUGAUUCUCUGCCCUGCA
ensembl:lncRNA